rnacentral:rRNA from 1 species
GACGAACGCUGGCGGCGUGCUUAACACAUGCAAGUCGAACGGUGAAGCGCCUUCCUUUUUGGUGGGUGUGGAUGAGUGGCGAACGGGUGAGUAACACGUGAGUAACCUGCCCCCUUCUUCUGGAUAACCGCAUGAAAGUGUGGCUAAUACGGGAUAUUCUGGGUCUGUCGCAUGAUGGGUCUGGGAAAGAUAUUGUUUCGGUGGGGGAUGGGCUCGCGGCCUAUCAGCUUGUUGGUGGGGUGAUGGCCUACCAAGGCGGUGACGGGUAGCCGGCCUGAGAGGGUGGACGGUCCCACUGGGACUGAGACACGGCCCAGACUCCUACGGGAGGCAGCAGUGGGGAAUAUUGCACAAUGGGCGCAAGCCUGAUGCAGCGACGCCGCGUGAGGGAUGGAGGCCUUCGGGUUGUGAACCUCUUUCGCCAGUGAAGCAGGCCUGCCUCGUCUGUGGGUGGGUUGACGGUAGCUGGAUAAGAAGCGCCGGCUAACUACGUG